AACACAGAAGAGCAUUCAUCUGCAUACAUUAGUACCAAAAAUGUUCACAAUAUCAGUCAAAACAAAACCCAAUUCAAAAAAUAUCCAUUAUUUCAGAAUGUUUCAAUACUACACAAAGAACAAAAACAUGAACAAACCCUAACAAAGUCUUCACCUUUUUACAAAACAAACAGAAACCCAGAAACAAAACAAACUCCCCCUUCAAUAAUCUCAAUGAUUCAUUCAUACAUCAAAAGAAAAAUCCCUAAAAUUUCAAAAUUCCUAAAAUUUUCAAAGUUGACAACUUUUCUUAACAAUCACAACCAACUUUCCUCAUAA